rnacentral:lncRNA from 1 species
CGGCUAGUAUCGCGAGAUCAGGAAGGUGGCCGAGUGUGUCGCCGCGGCCAUCAGGCACUUCUCCUUCCUGCCCUUGUAUGAAGAAGGAUGUGUUUGCUUCCCCUUGUGCCAUGAUUGUAAAUUUCCUGAGGCCUCCUCAGCCCUGCAGAACUGGGGUUAUAGCCAUGUGACUGAUCUUCGUCCAAGAAUAUGUAAAGAAAAAGUGUUGAGUUGGCUUUUAGGGCUAGAGCAAUGUAUCUUAGGCUCACUUAAGGAAGCUGUAGAGAUGAGCCCAAGGAGGGAAACCAGAAGAGCCCCCCAGGCUCACCAGUUGUUUGUUGGCUCCCUACAAACAUGUCAUUCAAGUGGCUAAUCUUACAACAGCACAAAUUCAUCUAACCAGAGAUACUCUAUUAUAGCAAAGAAGAAAGAUAAUUUCAUUGAGCCAUCCUGUUUUACAGUAUUGAAUUAUUACCACAAGGUACCAACCAUAUAUGCAUACUUAAUAGGGUAUUUUGUCAAAACUAUGCAUGAAGGUCAUUUGUUUGAGAUGUCAGAACAUUUUCCCGUGAGAAGAUCUCAUUGGGCAUUGAAACAGAACCACAUGCUCUUCAGACCAGCAACCGCGACUACCAAAUACUCCUCUGUCAACUCUACUUGAAUUAAGGCCUAAGUGUCAACAUGCCUUUAAAAAAAAUCGUGGUGACACAAAAUCUUUCUUUUUAGCACCCAACAGAAUCCCUUCAAAGCCUCGUGGUCUGACACCCUAUGCUACGUGACUUGUGACCCAUCCAUUUGUCAUGUUCUUCGGGAAUGUGGCUAAGGGGCUAAGAUGUGACUUGAAAAGAAAGGUAGAACAAGAUCAUCUCAAAUUUAUUAUCAAGGAAUAGUUCAGAAAACGACUUCAGACCACAGAGACAGCAGAACAGAUGGUCCGGCAUGGAUAGAGCAUCAGACACUCACAGACUGUGCCAACAAGAGCCAUCGAGUCAAAACAGCCAAAGGAAGGAGGGUCAUGGAAUGGGUUCUCUCACACCAAACUGAUGCCCAGAGGCCCUCAGCAUGAAUAACAAAGGCAACCAGACCCACAAGCCAUACUGAGUGGAUACAAAACCUAUACCUAGGCUGACAUCCCAAAUGUGUGUGGCAAGUUAGAUGAUGAUGGCACAAAAGACAGAACACCUUGCUUCUGGCCAUUGUCAGCUCUUGGAAGAGAGCACACUUUUAGAGGAGCAGCUGCAAGGAGCCUGAGAACAAAACUGGAAAUGUCUGUUAUGAAAGCCUUCACAGGAAAUUCUGCAAGUGGCAACGUGGGUCCAUUCCGUGUGUGUCACUAGAGCUGGCGCAAGCCCAUGGCCAUGGUGAGGCAGCGUUUCCACUGGAACUAAUCUGAUACCUGCACCAGCUCUUGCAACUGUGCAGUGUUCCCACUGCAAACUACGGAUGGGGUAAAAGACUGCUCACCUCCUAUUUCUCAUCUAAUCUCACACACUCUGUUUGAUGAGGCUAUGGAGAAACAGGUCUUCUCAUACACUAAAGGUGGGAGUACAAACAAUUCAAGCCCUGUGCAGGACAAUUAGGCAAUACCUAUCAAAAUUAUACAUGAUUUUUCCUGCUGACCCAGCAAUUCCACUUCUGGGAAUAAUUGACAGAUAUAGGUGCAUAUGUACAAAAUGAUGGAAAGCUCUCUGGUAUAUAUUAGUAAGUGAUAAAACAAGGUGUAAAAUAGUGUAUAUAUGGCUACUACCUUUUGUUUUAAAAAUGGGGGAAAAUGGUGGAGCUUGCGGUGAGCCGAGAUCGUGCCACUGCACUCCAGCCUGGGCGACAGAGCGAGACUCCGUCUCAAAAAAAAAACAGGGUGGGGUGGGGGGGAAAUAAUAGUACAUACUCAUAUUUACCUGUAUCUAUAUAAAACACACUAUCAAGGAUUCACAAGAAACUAAUACAAAUGAUCACCUUAUAGAUGGUAUGUAUUGGGGGAUACUGAGGUGAGCAGGGUAUAAGUGGGGCAAGACUUUUCAGUGUAAACUUCUUUUAAAUUUUAUUUUGAUUUUUGAAUAAUGUAAAUUAACUGUCAAAUAAUUAAAUUAAAAAUAACCAAUUUAUUAACAAAA